CCCACCAAGGCGACGAUCGGUAGCUGGUCUGAGAGGAUGAUCAGCCACAUUGGGACUGAGACACGGCCCAAACUCCUACGGGAGGCAGCAGUGGGGAAUAUUGGACAAUGGGCGCAAGCCUGAUCCAGCCAUGCCGCGUGAGUGAUGACGGCCUUAGGGUUGUAAAGCUCUUUCGUCAGGGACGAUAAUGACGGUACCUGAAGAAGAAGCCCCGGCUAACUUCGUGCCAGCAGCCGCGGUAAUACGAAGGGGGCUAGCGUUGUUCGGAAUUACUGGGCGUAAAGCGCGUGUAGGCGGGUCUUUAAGUCAGGGGUGAAAUGCCAGGGCUCAACCUUGGAACUGCCUUUGAUACUGGAGAUCUUGAGUCCGGGAGAGGUGAGUGGAACUGCGAGUGUAGAGGUGAAAUUCGUAGAUAUUCGCAAGAACACCAGUGGCGAAGGCGGCUCACUGGCCCGGUACUGACGCUGAGAUGCGAAAGCGUGGGGAGCAAACAGGAUUAGAUACCCUGGUAGUCCACGCUGUAAACGAUGGAUGCUAGCCGUUAGGCAGCUUGCUGCUUAGUGGCGCAGUUAACACUUUAAGCAUCCCGCCUGGGGAGUACGGUCGCAAGAUUAAAACUCAAAGGAAU
rnacentral:rRNA from 1 species